UAGAGAGUAGUAUAGUGGGAGUACAGAGGGUUUUGAUCUCUCAGGUGCAGGUUCAAUUCCUGUCUUUCUAA
rnacentral:tRNA from 1 species